rnacentral:rRNA from 1 species
GUCGCGGUUAAUCUUGGGGCGCUAACGUAAAUCAUCAUUAAUUGGUCUAAAAGAUCCGUAGUAUGAUUUAUAAUUAUUAAUAAUAAUUAUGAGAAAAUUAGAGUUUUAUAGAAGUAUUGAAGUAUAGCAUAAGGAGAGAUGAAAUUCAUUGAGAUAUGUUAGACUGCUAAUAGCGAAGGCAUCAUACUAAGUAAAAACUGACAUUGAAGGAUGAAGGCUAGGGUAAAGAGGACGAUUCGAUACCGUUGUAUUCCUAGCUAACAACGAUGAUAAUUGAUAUUUAGAGUAUUCUUAUUUUUUAUUAAUACAAACUUUAGAUAUUGAAUGAAGAUGGAAAAUUAUCUACCUGGGUAGUACAAACGCAAGUUUGAAAUCCAAGACAAUAGGCGGUUUGAAAUAGAGGUAGUGAAACAUGUUAUUUAAU